ACUCUUGAGCAGUGGAUCACUCGGCUCACGGGUCGAUGAAGAAAGCAGCCAGCUGCGUGCAGAUUGAGCACUGAUUUUUCGAACUCGCAUUGCGGUCCCGGGUGCGAAAAAUCAGUGCUCAGUGUGCUCGCCUGACCCGGGACCUCGCCUGACUGAAGGUCG
rnacentral:rRNA from 1 species